UUCAAUUGAAUUAGAUAUUGAAAACACUGAUUAAACAUAAUCUCAUUUUAUUCCCUGUGAAUGCAUUUUUCUUACAUUUGUGAGAAGGGCUUGCUUAAGCCUUUCUGAUCUGAGCACGGUCCCUGUUUCCGGGGACUGAGGUGGGACAACAUCCAAGUUGUCCUUGGAAUCUGCCAGGCAGCUUUACCUUACCGUAUCUCUCAGUCCUUCAAUUCUUGCUAUGAUGAUAGAAUGGAUAUCUGUGUGCUGAUGCUUUGGUGUUAUCUUAGUAGCAGCAGAACUAAGACAUGUAUAUUUGGGUUGUCUAGUGGAUUGAUUUGUAUCUGGAGAAAGAGCCAACACCCAAAGAACUGUCUAUAGGUUUGAAUUGCACUGUGCCACUUUGCAACCUCAUGCAGCGCAGAACUGCACUGAGAGAGGCUGGAAGGAAUCCACAGGGUGGAUGAGCAGAUGUCCUCUUUCUGUGCUCUCUGUGGACAGGCAGUGGUACCAGAGUUGCUCUCACAUCAGCAGUCUGAAGGAAGAGUGCGUUUGUGUGCACGUAUAGACUUGGUGGUGGUGUGAUCUUAUAGGAUGGAAGGGGGGGGGUUCAGUUUAAAGGUUUACUGUAAAACACGGUAAGAUGUGAUGAUUUUAUAACUUCACCAGAAUUUGGCAACUGCAGUCUCAUUUAUUUCACAGUGCUUGCAGCUUCUUGAUAUGUAUUUACAAGAGAAAGACAUUAUGUGCCUAUAUUCCAAGUUUUCUGCAAAUUAAAUUCAUCAAACUGUCCAAAGCUGAUUAGUAAGAAUCUGCAAUGCUUAACAGGACUUUGUAACUGGGGCCCCAAAACACACAAUUAUAUUAGUUAAGACAUUGAUUAGACUUAGUUUAAUAACUGUGAUUGAGGAGAUUUGUUUAAUAGUAAGAUUAUAUUCUGUCAGUUUUAUGACAAAAAUUCUUUGUACCAUAAAUUUUACUAACCCUAAUAAAAUAACAAUAAAACAUGAUGGACUCAACCUACUCUUGGUCAUAUCCAUCCCAACACAAAACUAUUACAUUGUUGUAGA